rnacentral:lncRNA from 1 species
GUGAGAAUAGGGACUCGGCGAGUUGGCGGCCCAACUCGGCGAGUCAGGUCAACUGUGGGUUGACUUUGACCGAGAGUUGACUUUGACCAAGGGUAAAAGAGUCAUUUUACCCAGUGCAGUGUUUAGUAUUUGAUUGAGUGUGUUUAUGGACUUGUAGCCGGGGAGAUACCGGAGCAGCAGCAGUUAGCUUCCAGAGCCAUACACACAGCAGCCAGUUCACGAGGUGAGUUUCCCUUCAGUAGGAACGGGUCUACGGCCACAAUGCCGGCCCGUUUAAUUAUCAGUAGUUCCGGACUUUGGUCUGAUGCAGUAGUUAGAGUGCUUGAUGUCUUUGUGAUACAAGCAUGUUUUUGUUAUGUGUUCCGGACUCUGUUCCGAUGCAGUAUGCAGUAUAUGUGAUUAUAAUAGUUGUUAUGUUUUAUGCUAUGCCAUGAUCAGUCAGUUCCGGACUUCGGUCCGAUGCAGUCAGUUCCGGACUACGGUGCGAUGCAGUUAGUUCCGGACUUCGGUCCGAUGCAGUCAGUUCCGGACUUCGGUCCGAUGCAGUUAGUUCCGGACUCUGGUCCGAUGCAGGGGACAAGGUCCCAGUCAGUUCCGGACUUCGGUCCGAUGCAGCUAGUUCCAGACAUCGGUCUGAUGCAGUGGGCAAGGCCCAGUAUGUGCUUUAUUUAUGUAUUGUAUGGUAUGUGGUAGUUUGGGGGAGCUCACUAAGCUUCGUGCUUACAGUUUCAGUUUUGGUUUCAGGUACUUCCGCAAGCAGAGGGAAGAGCUCGGGAUGAUGGCAUCGCACACACCACAGCUUCAGCUUUUAUCCUGGGAGUUGAUUUAGUUUUUGAUUUUGAUAUGACAUAGAUAUGAUACAGUUUUCCGCACAGUGUUUUUAUUAUGUUUGGGAUACAUCACGUAUGGUUUUAUGAUAUGACACUCAGAUUAUGGUUUUUGGUUAUGUUGAAAAACGAAAUUUUUGGGUCGUAUUUUUGGGUCGUUUCAAGUUGGUAUCAGAGCCCUGGUUUGAGGGAUUCGGAUAUACUUCCGGGUGUAUCCGAACUCAAACUAAGGGGAAAUAAAAAGAUUUUUUAAAAAAAAGGAAAAUGUUUUCUAAAAGAAUUUUUAAAAGCACUUAGAAAGAAAGAAUUUUUUUUUAACGAGAUAAGGGUGUGCUGCAUGCAAUCAGCCGAGCUCAAGUAAGCACUCCCAAAUUACCCAUACAAGUUAUUUGUUCAGUUUCAGUUUCAGUAGAACAGCAUGCUAGUAUAGGACUAAGGAUCUAGGAGGAUGCCUUAUGUGCCUGCUUUAUGUGUUACAGCUUUAUGAGUAUUGCAUGCUAGUAUUGAGUAGACAGCAGUAGGAUAGCCUGUUUAGGUUAUGCCUGAUAGUAUGAGCUUAGCAUUGUAUGCUAGUACAGUUUCUCGUUAUGAGAAUAGUUUUGCCUGAGUAUGUUUCCUUUAUCCGAAUGCUGCUUGCUUCGUGCUUUGUGGGGUUCUGAGUGAUGGGAGUUAGCCAUUAGGUGAACACGUCACACCACAUGUGAUCAGGGUUGAAUAAUUCCAGAGUGCUGGAACUGGCCCUAUUGCGCAGCUCUUGUUUGAGUCCAACCGUUAUAGGGACGGGUCUUUUACUUGAAGGAUUAUCUGAUCUUCGUCACAUGUGAUGGUGUUCAGGUGGUGGUUAAUUAGCAUUAUAAGGAGACCUGCAGCAGCUGAGGACUAGUUGAGUUGAGUCUGAGGUUUCCCUGGGGCAAGCCUAGGAUGAGAGUAGCAGAGAUCAGUAGUAGUAGAAGUGACUUGGUGGAGUCAGGGCAGUUCUUGAAGAAAGUACGGAUAGAUGUGGAAGGUAGUAUGGGCCCGUACUACUGGAAGCAGAGGAUCCGUACUCGAAUCAAGAAAGGCUGAGACAAGACCAGGAAGCUAGUUGUAGUAUCAAUGAUCCCUUGAGAUAUUUCAGUUUUCUGAUGUAGUUGUGAUGUGUUUCAGAAUGGUGGUUUUGCGUUCGAGACCAGCAGCCGGCAGCGGAGGUGCCGGGGAGGGAUCAGGUUCAGGCUCGGGGGACGAGCGCAUGGAUGAGCAGACCCGAGAGUUUCUUUCUUCGGAGAUUACGCGCAUCAUUAUAGAGCAGACUCCUGUGAUCUUCGGUUCGAUCAAGGAGGGGAUUCUAGAGCUGAUGGAUGAGAGAUUGGGCACCUUCCGUGCCGAGGUGGCGGCCAUGAUGGGGUCGCGCACCCUUACUUUCAGGGAGUUCAGGGCAUGUGGAGCUCCGGACUAUCAUGGGGCGCGAGACCCCAUAGCGAGCACCAGAUGGUUGGCGGAUGUGGCCAACGCUUUCCGUACUAGCAGAUGUCCCGAGGGGGACAAGGUCAGAUUGGCGUCCUGUCUUCUGAAGGACAGGGCACGAGAUUGGUGGGAGGAGGUCGGGCAUGCCAUUGGGGAUGAUGCAGCAUUGGACGCCAUGACCUGGGCUGAUUUCUCUACCAGGUUCAGGGCGGAGUUUGCACCGGUCAUUGAGGUGCAACAGCUAGCUAGGGAGUUUCAGGACCUCACCCAGACUACAGAGACAGUGGCGGAGAUCACCGCCAAGUUCAGGGAGAGGGCUCUUCUCGUUCCUCAGUAUGUAGCUGAUGAGGAAAUGAAGAAGGCCCGUUAUCAUGAGAUGUUGCGGAGCGAUAUCCGCCAGUUUGUGAGCCGGUCCAGCUGUAAAACGCUGGAAGAUAUGAUUGCUAGAGCUCGGGAGAGGGAGAUUGAUCUUGAGAUGGAGAAGAAGAGGAAACCGGAGGCGGUUUCGGGUUCAGGCGGUUCGGGCAAAAAGCCCAAGGUUUCGGAUCACAGAUCUAGGAGUCAGCAGAGCCACGGUCGAUGUGGCAAGUGUGGGAGAUUGCACGAGGGAGCGUGCAAGGCAGGGAGUUCCGGCUGCUACAAGUGCGGUCGGAUUGGGCAUUUGAGUAGGGAUUGUACGGCCCCUGCUACUGCCGUCGCAGCAUCAGAUCUGAUUUGCUUUCAGUGCAAUCAGAGGGGACAUAAAAAGUCCCAGUGUCCGAGUUUAGCUUCAGCAGGGAAGGUGGCUGCACCUGCCCCUGCUACCUUGAGGAUUACAGAUGGCCGGCAGGGCCGAGCUGAUGCGCCAGUGGCGAAGAGUAGGGCGUUUCAGAUGACAGCAGAGGAGGCGCGAGCGACUCCUGAUGUGGUGACGGGUAUGUAUCUUCCCUUUUAUCUCUUUAUUAUUAUUGAUUAAAUGUUGCUUAUGAUUGUAUGUUUUAUUCAGGGUCGUUCUCUGUGAACGGCAUUUCUGCUUUGGUAUUAUUCGAUUCGGGGGCUACCCGAUCAUUCGUAUCUCUUGCGCUUAGCAAGAGGUUCAGUAGAGCUCCAGGGGAGCUGGAUUGUCCAUUAGAGGUUGAGAUAGCGGAUGAUAGGACCGUGAGGGUCGGCAGAGUGCACAGAGGGUGUUCUCUUCAGUUAUUUGAUGAGCAGUUUUCAGUGGAUUUGGUACCUAUUCCCCUGCGAGGGAAUAAGGUUAUUGUGGGUAUGGAUUGGCUAAGCCCCAAUGGGGCGGUGAUUGAUUGCGAGCUUCAGCUAGUGAGGGUUCGCACUCCCAGUGGGGGAGAGUUGGUGAUUCAGGGCGAGAGGCCACAGCGAGGACCGACCUUUUGUUCCGCCGCAAGGGCGAGGCGCUAUGUUCAGCAGGGUUGCGCCGGUUUUGUAGCUUACGUUUUGGAUGCCCGGGAGAAGGGCAAGUCGACAGUGGAUGAUGUUCCUAUUGUUCGAGACUACCCGGAUGUGUUUCCUGAGGAUUUGCCGGGGAUACCUCCUGAGAGACAGGUCGAGUUCCGGAUCGACCUCGUCCCUGGUGCGGCUCCGAUAGCCAAGGCACCGUAUCGACUAGCUCCCCCUGAGAUGCAGGAGUUGUCUACACAGCUGCAGGAGCUGUUAGACAAGGGUUUCAUUCGGCCGAGCAGUUCGCCUUGGGGAGCGCCGAUCCUGUUUGUGAGAAAGAAGGAUGGGUCGCAUCGUAUGUGUAUUGAUUAUCGGGAGCUGAAUAAGGUAACGGUGAAGAACCGUUACCCACUCCCGAGGAUAGAUGAUUUGUUUGAUCAGCUUCAGGGAGCGUCUUGGUUCUCCAAGAUCGAUCUACGCUCCGGAUAUCAUCAGAUGCGGGUUAGAGAUGAGGAUGUACAGAAGACUGCUUUCAGGACCAGGUAUGGUCAUUACGAGUUUGUGGUGAUGCCAUUUGGGCUCACCAAUGCUCCAGCCGCGUUCAUGGAUCUCAUGAACCGCGUGUGUAGGCCGAUGCUGGAUCGGUCAGUGAUAGUGUUCAUAGAUGACAUCUUGGUAUAUUCCAAGACGCAGGAGCAGCACGAGGAGCACCUGCGGGAGGUGCUGGAGGUUUUGAGGAGGGAGAGACUUUUCGCAAAGUUCUCCAAAUGUGAGUUCUGGUUGCGCGAGGUGCAGUUCCUUGGUCACCUCGUCAACCAGAAGGGUAUUCUGGUAGAUCCGGCCAAGAUAGAGGCCGUGAUGCAGUGGGAGGUCCCGAAGUCUCCAUCUGAGAUUCGGAGCUUCCUAGGGUUGGCAGGGUAUUAUCGGAGAUUUAUUCAGGAUUUCUCCAAGAUAGCAGUGCCGCUCACCCGACUGACCAAGAAGUCAGUGGUAUUUCGUUGGGGUCCGGAGCAGCAGACAGCAUUCGAGACCCUCAGGCAGAGAUUGUGCGAGGCUCCGAUCCUUACCUUGCCAGAGGGAGUAGAGGACUUUGUAGUCUAUUGUGAUGCCUCGAUCACAGGUUUGGGAGCAGUUCUGAUGCAGCGAGGCCAUGUGAUAGCUUAUGCCUCGAGACAGUUGAAGCCUCACGAGGCUAAUUAUCCUACCCAUGAUUUGGAGCUGGGGGCAGUUGUGUUUGCCCUCAAGAUUUGGAGGCAUUACCUUUAUGGGGUCCGUUGUACUAUUUACACGGAUCACAAGAGUUUGAGGUACCUUAUGGAUCAGCCGAGUCUGAACAUGAGGCAGAGGAGGUGGUUGGAUGUGCUAAAGGAUUACGACUGUGAGAUCCUUUACCAUCCAGGGAAGGCCAACGUGGUGGCCGAUGCCCUGAGCCGCAAAGUGUCGGCGGCCCCUAUCAGAGAUCUAUGUUUGAGGAUGACAGUGAUCACUCCGUUGUUGGAGCGGAUCAAGGAGGCUCAGGUGGAGGGCCUCAAGGAGGAGAGACAGAAGUGUGAGAGGAUCGUGGGCCGAGUAGCCUCGUUUGAUUAUGAUAGUCGUGGUUUGCUGACGCUUCACGGGAGAGUGUGGGUACCGUACUGGGGUGGAGUACGGCAAGUGUUGAUGGAUGAGGCUCAUAAGUCUCGGUUUUCUAUCCACCCAGGGGCGACGAAGAUGUAUCGAGAUCUUCGACCUGAUUAUUGGUGGCCCUGCAUGAAGCGGGACGUCGCCUGGUACGUCGAGAGAUGCCUGACCUGCCGGAAGGUCAAGGCGGAGCACCAGAGACCUCACGGCAGGAUGCAGCCGUUAGACAUUCCCGUGUGGAAAUGGGAGGACAUCACCAUGGAUUUUGUCACCAAGCUUCCCAGGACCGCACGAGGAGUGGAUUCGAUAUGGGUAGUAGUGGAUCGGUUGACGAAGAGUGCCCAUUUUAUCCCGAUCCAGGAGAGUAUAUCGGCGGAGAAGUUAGCCGAUAUCUAUGUGCGAGAGAUUGUGGCACGUCAUGGAGUGCCGGUAUCGGUGGUGUCAGACCGAGAUGUCCGUUUCACAUCCAGAUUCUGGAAGCGGUUCCACGACGAGAUGGGUACUCGUCUCCAUUUCAGCACCGCUUUCCACCCUCAGACAGACGGGCAGAGCGAGAGGACGAUUCAGACUCUCGAGGACAUGCUUAGGGCAUGUGUCCUAGAUUUCGGUGGCAGUUGGGAUACGUAUCUUCCGUUAGCGGAAUUCUCGUAUAACAACAGUUAUCAUGCGAGCAUUGAUCGACCUCCCUUUGAGAUGCUGUAUGGGAGGAAGUGUAGGACCCCGAUUUGUUGGGGCGAGGUCGGUCAGCGGGUCAUCGGGAGCACGGAGGUGGUGCUCAAGACGACUGAGUUGAUCCAGCAGGUCCGUAGUAGACUGCAGACUGCUCAGAGUCGGCAGAAGAGCUACGCCGAUAGGAGGCGUUCGGACUUGGAGUUCCAGGUGGGGGAUAUGGUCCUUCUGAAGGUCUCACCUUGGAAGGGUGUCAUCAGGUUCCGGAAGAGGGGCAAGUUGGGCCCCAGAUUUAUUGGUCCUUUCAGGGUUUUGGCCCGGGUGGGUCGGGUUGCUUAUCGGUUAGAUCUUCCUGAGGAGCUUAGUCAGAUCCACAACACUUUCCAUGUGUCUCAGUUGAGGAAGUGUUUGGUGGAUGAGUCAGCAGUCGUUCCCCUAGAGGAUAUUCAGGUUGAUAGCAGCCUGAAUUAUAUUGAGAGGCCGGUCGCGAUUCUGGACCGGAAGACCAAGACCUUGAGGAACAAGGAAAUUCAGUUAGUGAAGGUGCAGUGGCAGCACCGGAAGGGGUCUGAGUGGACGUGGGAGGCUGAGGAGGAGAUGAGAGAGCACUACCCAGAGAUAUUUGCAGAUUCAGCCGUAGCAGACUUCGAGGACGAAGUCUGAGAUAAGUGGGGGAGAAUUGUAACGACCCGUCUCCGGUAUGAUAAUUCCUUGGUAUUUAUUUUGAAGUUUUGCAAGAGGGACUCGGCGAGUUCAUAGCCUGACUCGCCGAGUAGGGUCGGGAUUUCGAGCACGUGUUAGCUGGCGACUCGGCGAGUCCAUAUUCUGGACUCGGCGAGUCUGUCCGUCUGGGAGAAACCCUAAAUCCCCGGGUUGCCCACUAUUUAAGCCACCUUAUAGCCCCCAAUCUCGCCUCCUUCACCCUCUAAAGCUGUGAGAAAACCCUAAUUCGUUCUUGAGUGAUUCUAAGUGAUUUUGUGUGCUAUUGUGAAGGCUUGAAGAAGGAGAAGAAGAAAGGAGCAAGGAGAAGGAUUGUAGAGCAGAGAUUCAAGGGAAAGCAAGAGCUCUUUGAGGUAUUCUUCAGUUUUCCUUCUCUUUUAUGCCUUAAAACCCUUUCUAGAUCUUGUUAAUGCCUUUCUCAAAGCCUUAUGUUGAUAUGGAAGCUCUCUUAUGCCGAGAUAACCUUAGAUCUGUUCAUUUAGGAGUUGUAGAGCCCAGAUCUAUUGCCUUUAUGGAGCUAUUUUGCAUAUUAACCCUAGAUCUACCCCUUUUAAGCAUCUUUUAGCCUUUAUUCCCUUGUUCAUGUGUUUGUACACGUAAAGUUGGAAACUUUACGUGGUAAAUCAGCUUAUUGGACUCAGAUCUAUCAUUUGUAUGUAUUGGAUUCGAGCAGAAUCGAGUGUAGAAUAGUUGCAUGGCGGUGACUCGGCGAGUCGGAAGAACGACUCGGCGAGUCGAGUCGCGAGUCCCCGAUUUCUUCCUUUUGAGCGGUGUCGAGUGGGACCAGUGAGUAGUGGAGUGGACUCAGCGAGUUUGAGGGUAGACUCAGUAAUGGAGGGACUCGGCGAGUUGUUCAUACAACUCGGCGAGUCCAAGGCAAUAUUCUUAAGCUCAAGAACAACUCGUCGAGUUGUUCAUAUGACUCGGCGAGUCGGAUGAAGAUUGUCUGAGUUCUUGGUUCGAGAGGGUACUCGUCGAGUCGAUGUCAUAUAAGACGAGUAGCCACGAGUAGGAUUGAGAAGUGAGGUUAGAGACUCGGCGAGUUGGCGGCCCAACUCGGCGAGUCAGGUCAACUGUGGGUUGACUUUGACCGAGAGUUGACCUUGACUGAGAGUUGACUUUGACCAAGGGUAAAAGAGUCAUUUUACCCAGUGCAGUGUUUAGUAUUUGAUUGAGUGUGUUUAUGGACUUGUAGCCGGGGAGAUACCGGAGCAGCAGCAGUUAGCUUCCAGAGCCAUACACACAGCAGCCAGUUCACGAGGUGAGUUUCCUUCCAGUAGGAACGGGUCUACGGCCACAAUGCCGGCCCGUUUAAUUAUCAGUAGUUCCGGACUUUGGUCUGAUGCAGUAGUUAAAGUGCUUGAUGUCUUUUUGAUACAAGCAUGUUUGUGUUAUGUGCUCCGGACUCUGUUCUGAUGCAGUAUGCAGUAUAUGUGAUUAUAAUAGUUGUUAUGUUUUAUGCUAUGCCAUGAUCAGUCAGUUCCGGACUUCGGUCCGAUGCAGUCAGUUCCGGACUACGGUCCGAUGCAGCUAGUUCCGGACUUCGGUCCGAUGCAGUCAGUUUCGGAUUUCGGUCCGAUGCAGUUAGUUCCGGACUCUGGUCUGAUGCAGGGGACAAGGUCCCAGUCAGUUCCGGACUUCGGUCCGAUGCAGCUAGUUCCAGACAUCGGUCUGAUGCAGUGGGCAAGGCCCAGUAUGUGCUUUAUUUAUGUAUUGUAUGGUAUGUGGUAGUUUGGGGGAGCUCACUAAGCUUCGUGCUUACAGUUUCAGUUUUGGUUUCAGGUACUUCCGCAAGCAGAGGGAAGAGCUCGGGAUGAUGGCAUCGCACACACCACAGCUUCAGCUUUUAUCCUGGGAGUUGAUUUAGUUUUUGAUUUGAUAUGAUAUAGAUAUGAUACAGUUUUCCGCACAGUGUUUUGUUAUGUUGAGAUAUAUCACGCAUGGUUUUAUGAUAUGACACUCAGAUUAUGGUUUUUAGUU